ACGCUCGACACCUACGGGAGGCAGCAGUGGGGAAUAUUGCACAAUGGGGGAAACCCUGAUGCAGUUUCGACGCCGCGUGGAGGAAGAAGGUCUUCGGAUUGUAAACUCCUGUUGUUGGGGAAAAAGAGGAUGGUACCCAACAAGGAAGUGACGGCUAACUACGUGCCAGAAGCCGCGGUAAUCUGAGCGGGCUGGCAAGGC
rnacentral:rRNA from 1 species